rnacentral:rRNA from 1 species
UGGGGGAUAUUGCACAAUGGGCGAAAGCCUGAUGCAGCGACGCCGCGUGGGGGAUGAAGGCCUUCGGGUUGUAAACUUCUUUUGCUCUGAACAAGGCGCACCAUGGGGUGUGUUGAGUGUAGGGGUUGAUUAGCGCCGGCUAACUACGUGCCAGCAGCCGCGGUAAUACGUAGUGCGCGAGCGUUGUCCGGAAUUAUUGGGCGUAAAGGGCUUGUAGGUGGCUGGUUGCGUCUGUCGUGAAAGCUCAUGGCUUAACUGUGGGUUUGCGGUGGGUACGGGCUGGCUUGAGUGCAGUAGGGGAGGCUGGAAUUCCUGGUGUAGCGGUGGAAUGCGCAGAUAUCAGGAGGAAUACCGGUGGCGAAGGCGGGUCUCUGGGCUGUUACUGACACUGAGGAGCGAAAGCAUGGGGAGCGAACAGG